rnacentral:lncRNA from 1 species
GAAAACUCACAGCCCGGGUAACCAGGAGCGCAGCUGAAGCGAGAAAAAUCGACGUCCGCCGCCCGGGUGGUGGACCUCGACUCUCGGGCGGCGCUGCUUCGUAGCUUGGGCGUCCAAAUCUGACGCCCAAGCCCAACAUGACUCUCAAUUCAUGCCUGGGCGACCUCCCUACGACGCUUGAGUGUGAUUUCACGUGGAUCAGGCCCUGUUUAUGCUCUGUUUUGAUUCUUUUGGACCGG